rnacentral:rRNA from 1 species
AACGAACGCUGGCGGCGUGCUUAACACAUGCAAGUCUACGAGAACGAGGUAGCAAUAUCUCUAUUAAAGUGGCGCACGGGUGCGUAACACGUAAGCAAUCUACCUUUGGGUCUGGAAUAACUUCGAGAAAUCGAGGCUAAUACCGGAUAAUGCAGCGGCAUCGCAUGGUGAUGUUGUUAAAGUUUAAGUAAUGCCUAUAGAUGAGCUUGCGUCUGAUUAGCUAGUUGGUAGGGUAAAAGCCUACCAAGGCUACGAUCAGUAGCUGGUCUGAGAGGAUGAUCAGCCACACUGGAACUGAGACACGGUCCAGACUCCUACGGGAGGCAGCAGUGAGGAAUAUUGGGCAAUGCCCGCAAGGGUGACCCAGCAACGCCGCGUGGAGGAUGAAGGCCGUAAGGUUGUAAACUCCUGUUAGAGGAGAGAACAGUACCGAUUGGAUCGGUAUUUGACUGUACCCUCAGAGAAAGCCCCGGCUAACUACGUG